rnacentral:lncRNA from 1 species
AUAGGAAAAUCUAACUGUAAAAGACCUUUGAACUCUAUUCAUUUUACUUUCAGAAUCCUGAAGUUUCCUAGCGAAUUAAACAAGGUUCAUUUUGCGCCAAUCUAAUCAUAUUUAUUUAAUGUUGAUUUUUUUGUAUAAUAUUAAAUGUUACAUAUGAUAAUAUUCUCAUUUGAAAGACUUGGUAAUUUUAUGUGUUUAGUGAUCAGUAUAAAUUUUCAGGUUCUGAAAGUUUCAAGUGAGACUUUUCUGGGGGGGUGGGAAGGAGGGAGGGUUUUUUGGUUUGUUUUGUUUUGUGAGGCAGGGUAUCACUAUUUAUGUAACACUGGCUGACCUGGAACUCACUAUAUGAAUUUUCCAAUCAUGAAACUACAGAUAUAUUCUACCUUCCCAGUUUUCAAGUGAGAUUUUUUUUAAAAAAAAAAGUUUUCCCAAAUAGUAAAACUUGUUUUAUCAUAUUAUAGGUAAGUUGAAAAAUCAGUAAUGCCUGCAGGUUUCAGACUUUAAUCUUGUCUUAUUUUAUAUUGAAUACCAAAAAUGACUCCAGGACAUCUACCCUGUGCAUAAGCAAGUACACAGUGUAGACACGCACUCUACUUCUGGUCCUACAACCUUAGCCCAUUUACAGAUUUUUGUGUGUAUAUUUUACAUGCUGUGAGUUGAGUACUCUAAUGAAAAACAGAGGACUGAACACACACUCCAAUCUCAGGUAUCACUAAUAAUAAAGGCAGCAUUUUUAAAAGAUAUUAACUUCACAAACAUGUAGUAAAAAUGAUGAUCUUGUUUGGAAAGCUGGGCAUCUGAUAACAGCCCCCACCCCCAAAAGCCGACUCCUAAGCUGGCAGUAUGAAAUGAUAGUACACAGCCUAGUUGACUGACGAUCUUCUCAAAGGCUCAGAAUAUGCUAGUAAUUG